UACGGAGGAUGCGAGCGUUAUCCGGAUUUAUUGGGUUUAAAGGGUGCGUAGGCGGGCUGUUAAGUCAGCGGUCAAAUGUCGGGGCUCAACCCCGGCCUGCCGUUGAAACUGGCGGCCUCGAGUGGGCGAGAAGUAUGCGGAAUGCGUGGUGUAGCGGUGAAAUGCAUAGAUAUCACGCAGAACUCCGAUUGCGAAGGCAGCAUACCGGCGCCCGACUGACGCUGAGGCACGAAAGCGUGGGUAUCGAACGGG
rnacentral:rRNA from 1 species